rnacentral:misc_RNA from 1 species
GAUGAAGAACGUAGUGAAAUGCGAUAAGUAAUGUGAAUUGCAGAAUUCAGUGAAUCAUCGAAUCUUUGAACGCACAUUGCGCCCAUUAGUAUUCUAGUGGGCAUGCCUGUUCGAGCGUCAUUAAGUCCACUUAAGCCCUGCUUAGUGUUGGGAGACUGUUCCAGCGGUGCUACCCUGUAGCUACCCUGCAGCUCCUCAAAGACAGCGGCGGAGUUGUGGUAUCCUCUGAGCUUAGUAACUUGUUCUAGCUUUCGAGUACACCACUUCCCCUGCCGUAAAACCCUUAAUUUUUAAUGGUUGACCUCGGAUCAGGUAGGAAUACCCGCUGAACUUAAGCAUAUCAAUAAGCGGAGGA